rnacentral:lncRNA from 1 species
AUGAAUGUCGCGAUGGUAUGUUUAGAGAGAGAUUUGCCUAGUUGAGGACCGAUGAGCAUCAACAACUCAAGCAUCAGCUUACAACAGUUUCACAUGGUGCAGGACAAGAGACUACAAAAAGAGCCAUUGCACAGUACCAAAGAAGCUCAAAGUUAAACUGCAUAGUACCAAUCGAGCACAAGGUCAAAGAGACUAACCAGUUCCAAUGGGAUUGAUGAAAUUUCAAACCAAGACCUCCGAGGACUUGAAUUGUUUUAGGGUUUGA